UAGGGAAUCUUCCACAAUGGGCGCAAGCCUGAUGGAGCAACACCGCGUGAGUGAAGAAGGGUUUCGGCUCGUAAAGCUCUGUUGUUAAAGAAGAACACGUAUGAGAGUAACUGUUCAUACGUUGACGGUAUUUAACCAGAAAGUCACGGCUAACUACGUAGCCAG
rnacentral:rRNA from 1 species